rnacentral:rRNA from 1 species
CAGUCGCCGCGGGAAUACGUAGGGUGCGAGCGUUAAUCGGAAUUACUGGGCGUAAAGCGUGCGCAGGCGGUUCGUUAAGACAGAUGUGAAAUCCCCGGGCUUAACAUGGGAACUGCAUUUGUGACUGGCGAGCUAGAGUAUGGCAGAGGGGGGUAGAAUUCCACGUGUAGCAGUGAAAUGCGUAGAGAUGUGGAGGAGUACCGAUGGCGAAGGCAGCCCCCUGGGCCAAUACUGACGCUCAUGCACGAAAGCGUGGGGAGCAGACAAGAUUAGAUACCCCCGUAGUCCCUGUCUCUUAUAC